CCUUAUUAUCUACAAAAUUUCAUGAAAUUCUGUUGUGUGGUUUCAGAGGAGUUGAGAUGACAAACUGUUGCAGAAGUACAUUGAAGCAAAUAAGUUCAAAGGGGCGUAACUCCUAGAAAAAAAAUUGAAUCACAAUUUCCCGUCGAUAUGCACAACUACAUAGUAUGUCCUUAUUAUCUGAAAAGGUUUCAUGAAAUUCUGUUAUGUGGUUUGAGAGGAGUUGCGAUGACAAACUGUUGCAGUAGUACAUUGAAGCAAAUAAGUUCAAAGGGGCGUAACUCCUAGAAAAAAAAAUUGAAUCGUAAUUUCCCGUCGAUAUGCACAACUACAUAG
rnacentral:lncRNA from 1 species